GGGGGUCGAUGGGACGAAGUCUGACGCAGCAACGCCGCGUGAGGGACGAAGGCUUUCUGAGUUGUAAACCUCUUUCGACAGGAACGAUUGUGACGGUACCUGUAGAAGAAGCACCGGCCAACUAUGUGCCAGCAGCCGCGGUGAUACAUAGGGUGCGAGCGUUAUUCGGAUUUAUUGGGCGUAAAGAGCUCGUAGGCGGUUCGACAAGUCGGGUGUUAAACCCCCAGGCUCAACCUGGGGCCGCCACCCGAAACUGUUGUGACUAGAGUUUGGUAGGGGAUCACGGAAUUCCUGGUGUAGCGGUGGAAUGCGCAGAUAUCAGGAGGAUCACCAGUAGCGAAGGCGGUGAUCUGGGCCAAUACUGACGCUGAGGAGCGAAAGCGUGGGGAGCGAACAGGAUUAGAUACCCUGGUAGUCCACGCCGUAAACGGUGGGCACUAGGUGUGGGGACUUUUCAACGGUUUCCGCGCCGCAGCUAACGCAUUAAGUGCCCCGCCUGGGGAGUACGGUCGCAAGA
rnacentral:rRNA from 1 species